rnacentral:pre_miRNA from 1 species
AAAACAACAUUAGGACCGUCAGUCUACCGAGCAAUAUCACCCGCUCUGUGGAAGAUCUUCCCUCGGUCGUUAAAG